rnacentral:rRNA from 1 species
CAGUCGCCGCGGUAAUACGGAGGAUCCAAGCGUUAUCCGGAAUUAUUGGGUUUAAAGGGUCCGUAGGCGGUCUUGUAAGUCAGUGGUGAAAGCCCAUCGCUCAACGGUGGAACGGCCAUUGAUACUGCAGGACUUGAAUUAUUGGGAAGUAACUAGAAUAUGUAGUGUAGCGGUGAAAUGCUUAGAGAUUACAUGGAAUACCAAUCGCGAAGGCAGGUUACUACCAAUUGAUUGACGCUGAUGGACGAAAGCGUGGGUAGCGAACAGGAUUAGAGACCCGAGUAGUCCCUGUCUCUUAUAC